UACUUGGCUAUUUAUCAUUAUUCUCUAGCCUGUUACUUUAUUUGUAGCACAUUUUAUUUUACAGUUGUGUUUUCUCUUCCACAGACUAUCUCACAGUCUUGCGCCAAUGCACAGCUAAAUAUCAUGAUGAGUAAACCAGUGCCAGAAGAGAGUCUGCUGUCGGAAAUGUGGUCUUCUGAACAAGUUAUCUACCCAUUUGUAGAGCUGCCACAUCAGUCUUCAUAGAAGUACUGGAAGGUUAUUGCCUUGAUUGUUCUGGACACACAUCCAGUUCAGAGGCAUCUGUCUACCACUUCAGAGCAGACUGUGGUUUAGUGAUGGUUGAGUGAGCUGUACCCAUGUACACACAAACACACAACGCUCCUCCUCUACAGCCUCACUAAAGGCAGUCAGGCAAAGAGAAAUACCCAAUCAGGAGUGUGCCUCAGAUUAUGUAUCCUGAGCUGGCCCUUUACCAGUGACUUCAAAGCUGGAAGACGUUUUUCAGCAUGAGCUGUUACUCCCUGUUCUUCUGGAUGUGCUUGUAAUGCUGCCAGGCAUGGCCCAGACCCACUACUCUGGGGCAUUGCCUCUUACUUUCUUCUCCCUACUUCCUCGUAAGCCGCAGGACAGAUAAUGUUCCUGUAGCCAGGCCAUCCAUGACUGUACAGAUGUACUGGACUUGCCCAAUAUUUUGAGAACAUUGGCUUAUUUGGAUGAAAGGUGCCACAUAGUGCCAGCACUCCCACCAUUUAUUAUUUGUAAUUUAUCCAGAGACUCCUUGAAGGCUG
rnacentral:lncRNA from 1 species